AUUGAUGUGGCAGAAAAUAUGCACUAGGCUUAAAACUUAGGGAUAAGGUUUUACCUUCUUCAAUA
rnacentral:tRNA from 1 species